rnacentral:rRNA from 1 species
GAUGAACGCUAGCUACAGGCUUAACACAUGCAAGUCGCGGGGCAGCAUGGGGGUUGCUUGCAAUCCCCGAUGGCGACCGGCGCACGGGUGAGUAACGCGUAUUCAACCUGCCCUUCACCACGGGAUAACCCGGCGAAAGUCGGACUAAUACCGUAUGUUGUCCAUUGACGGCAUCCGAUUUGGACGAAAGGCUUGGCGGUGAGGGAUGGGGAUGCGUCCGAUUAGCCAGACGGCGGGGUAACGGCCCACCGUGGCUACGAUCGGUAGGGGUUCUGAGAGGAAGGUCCCCCACACUGGAACUGACACACGGUCCAGACUCCUACGGGAGGCAGCAGUGAGGAAUAUUGGUCAAUGGGCGUAAGCCUGAACCAGCCAAGUAGCGUGCAGGAUGACGGCCCUAUGGGUUGUAAACUGCUUUUAUGCGGGGAUAAAGUGGCCCACGUGUGGGCUUUUGCAGGUUCCGCAUGAAUAAGGACCGGCUAAUUCCGUG